UCCAUUCCCGGUGAGCAACCCCAUUCCCGAUGAUUUUUUGUCAAUUAUGUCCCCGUAAGCAGGAUUAGAAGCAAAUAAUUUUGAUAUUCGUUACUUUAUAACAGUUGAGGUAUCAUAAAAAGCAUCAGAUAUCCUCAGAUUAGGUAUAUGGGGUCAGGAACUUCCAUUUUUGUUGAUUUCAUACUUUAUUCACGCUUCGUGUCGCCUGAGUUUUUGUGACAAUAGAGCCGAAUCAUAAAUUACAAACCAGAUAUUUUACACAUAUGAUGAAUUAUCAUAUUUGUGUCGAAUAGCAUUUUGCUUUUUUCGAGAAAAUUUAUUCUUGUCCCAUACUAAGCAAAAUCAUAACUUCACAUACCUCAAUUUCGUCUUUUGUUUUUCGCGCAACACCAGCACCGGACGUUGCGCAACCCACUUUAAGCGUAUUUCCAGCGGGAAUUGGAUUGCGCGUUUACCACCCGUGUGUAUACAAUUCACAGAGAGUACGAAAUAGAUAUCGAAUGCGGUAAUAAUUCAACAGGAUGCAAUAACACUAAACUGUUGACUGACCAAGAUGGAGGAUUCGUGGAAAGGAAGCAUAAGAUUUCUAUGGGAAAGACAUUCACGGAUGAUGUGUCAGAAAAGCCACCCAAUAUAAAUAUAUAUUCUACUGAAGGGUACAAAAGAGCGGCAUUUCUGAGAAAUAAAUGUACAAAUAUUGAUAAAAGGCAAUUUCAUCGAACAGUUCGUGUAAGCUACGACGUGAAACAUAAAGCCCUGUAUUGCCCUUUAUGCAAAUAAGCUUCCACUUUCUGGACCCGUGUCUUUAAAAUGUUAGACAAUAACAAUUAAGGAAGAUUUACUACACAUCCAUUUGAAGUCCCUAUUUUACAAGCGCCAGCCAGUAAGCUGCAUUUUAAUAUACUUGACCAAAAGAUUGAAAAGACAGUAAAUGCUCAAAGUCCUUUAGAUUUUUAUUUGUUCGAAAUCCAUUCAGUCUGUUAUUUUCCGCAUUUGUGGACAAAAUUGUUGGACCAAACCCUUCAUUAUGGCAAUUAUUUAAAAGCACAGUCAGCGCACGUGCUGAAGGGACGGUAACAAAUACUUGUGGUGCAGACCUCACAUUUGAACAUUUUUUGAGAAAUAUUGUGCAUAUGUACAAACUAAAACAUACCCUUGACUGCCACUAGCCAAAUUUGACGCCUGUCAGUCAUGUGCAGUAAACUGAACAUUUGUUGCAAAAAUGGAGACAUUUAAAGCCGAUACUUUCCACAUUAUAUAUAAAUUUAACCAAACGCAAACUUUGGAAGUAUUUGAGCAUGAAUUAAAUUCCUUACACGCGGACGACGCUAUUAAUGAUUCAACUUCCGGUCCAUUUUCAUGGAAGUGGGGCAUAAUUAGAUGUAUUACGUGGCCUGAAGCAUUGCAGAGAAUAUGGAGGAAGCUUCAAAUAAGGGGAAUUAUUGUUGUAAAUGGUUUUCCGCUCACAGAUAAUGAGGCAAACACUAUAGCUAAAGAAGAGUUUAUUGCGUUUCUAGAAGAAACAAGAUUAAAAACGACUUCCGGUGAAAGAGGUUGGCUAAAAAACAGGCUUUUAAAGAAGCAUAUAGAAGUGUGCCUUUUGAUGUUUUAGACGAGAUUAGAACCAUUUAUUCAAAUGAAUUUUAAUUAUUUGAUUACAAUGAUUCACCAGGUGAAAUAUCUAACAGAGAUACAGAGAUUCAAAAUUAUAAAUUACAUGAUUACACAUUAAUAUUAAAGAAAAUAUAACUCUUCGACUCUAAGUUGUGCUCCUCUUGUUUAGGCUGUAUGUCCAUUAGCAACUGUACUUGAGAAAUAGAAUGACGUUUAGAGGUUAUUUUGUAACUAAAGUAACGCCAAUGUUAUCAUGUCUUUAAUGUAAAACAUCACUAACUACAAAUAAAAUGAUAUAACUUUCGCAGAUGACAAUCACUUCAACUCUUUGAAUACCUAAUUUCAAGCUCCUAAAAAGUAACUGUCAAUCAAACCUCUGACUGUUUUAUCUAGGGUAGUCAAUUUGUUCUGACACAGAAAUGACGUCACAAGAGCAUCUAGGCUGCAUCAGUUUACUUAGACAAAUGAGCAAAAACGAACGUGUUUCAUAUUAAACAUUCCAGAAAUAAUACUUACCUAGCAGAUAAUUUUUUUUCAAACUGAAACGAAGUUUAAGAUAUGUCUGUUGUAAUAGGUACAACAGAAUAUAAUGUAUUGAUAUAAUAGCAAAAAGUAUUUUCAAAAAUAGUAAUUUACCAAAAAAAAAAAAAAAUAAAUAAAUAAAUAAAUAAAUCGAAAAUUGUAUGUGCAUUUUAAUAGAUGGACUUACUUUGCAACUAUGUUCAUCUUUAAGUCAAACACGUAUUUUUUAAAUAAAUUUGAGUUCCCCCAACAAUUGUUAUGAUUUUCGCGUAAAAAGAAAAAAGAAAAUGUUAAAGAUUAAAACUUGUAGGAUGUUCUUGAUUUUGAUCUGUCUCAUUCUUGCUUAUUUUAUAUGUAAUCCAAUUUCAUGAUGAAUAACAAAGAACCGCCUUUCAGUAAUUGCCCAGGGCACAUAUUUACGAACAUUUGGAGUCUAAAAAUUGAACAUACACAUAUGAAAAUUCUGAUAUCCAAUUUUCCAUAUCACGGACUGUAAACACAUUUCGUCGAUUUAUUUUUUCUGUUCAAAAGAUUAUCAUAUUCAAAUAAAUGUCGCAAAUCGAUAUUGUUUACCGUAUAAUCACAGGCCUUAAACACUGGCUCCUACUCUUUAUAUAAAGGUGAGUUGUUAAAAGAGCCAGUGGUACUUUAAUUUUACUGAGAUAAGAGAUAACAAGAAUCGAUUUCUCAUGUUUCAGUGGCUAAAACUUUAGAAACCAUAUCUAAAACAUAUAUGAGCCGCGCCAUGAGAAAACCAACAUAGUGGGUUUGGACCAGCAUGGAUCAAGACCAGCCUGCACUUCCGCGCAGUCUGGUCAGGAUCCAUGCUGCUCGCUUUUAAAGCCUAUAGGAAUGGGAGAAACUGUUAGCGAACAGCAUUCGUCCUGACCAGACUGCGCGGAUGCGCAGUAUGGUCUGGAUCCAUGCUGGUUGCAAACCCACUAUGUUGGUUUUCUCAUGGCACAUGACAUCCACGAGGAUACUCCCAACAAUCAAUUUAUGAUCAUAACUGCGAGAUCGGGGCAAUAUAUUAAUUCAGGAAUACAACAUUAAAUAAGAUUUUGAAUACCAGAUAUGGGGCAACCAUUAGAGAUGUGAUUCUUUCUGGAUUAAUUACAGCCACGAAACAAGUGGCGUAAAAAUUUUCAGUAAAAGAGUGUAUAGAGGAUAUUAGGGUCGCUUUAUCUCAAUGAAAAUGCACACAGACGAUAAAUAUAUAAUUUACCAAAUAUAUAUGAUCCAGGCAAUUUAAUGUUACGGGGAAAAUAUUUAAUUCGAUUGAAUGUUUACUGAUAACUCCUAAUGAUUCGCAGCUUGUUGUGGUAUUGUUAAUAGUUGCUGGUUUGUCUUUCUGUUUUUUUAUCUACUGUAACAAGAAAUUGUUACCCUAUGACGCAACACAAUAAAAGACAGUUUUAGGUUGCAUUGACUACAAGUGUUUCGUGAUUAUGAUUUAUCAUUGCAACUUAAGGAAAAGUUAAGUUUCAUGCAAGAAAUACGGAGACGCAUAAUUUAAUCCUACAAAGAUAUACUUAUAAUGAAAAGACGGCUGCAAUUCAAGUACCUUCCUAUGCUAUCAACACUGUCAUGACGUUACUACUUUGUACUCGCAGUACAGUAAUUUUAAUAUUAGACUCCUUUCAAAGGAACAGUGACCCAAAAUAUGUACAAUUCAAAGCCAGUUCUUAUGUAUAAAUUUAUAAACCCGAAACGAGUUUUUGAUGAUCAAACUAAAAAUAAAAUAUAUUUUUUAUUAAAAAUAUGACAUUAUUUUUUUAUUCUUAGUUACAUUAGUUACCCAAUGGCCUUUUUUUGUAUAAUAAAGUAUACCGACAAUUAGUG